rnacentral:lncRNA from 1 species
UAAUCCAUAGUCACUGUAGUGGUGGGGGUUUCCGUGGACUGCCUAUGAGAGGGGCACGAUAACCUAAUUAUAUAUUUACCUUCGGGGGGAGAUGUUGGAUUAAGUAUCUCCUGAGGUAAAAAUUUGAGUGCACUUCAUGUGGACCACCGCGUGAGAGUGAGACUCAGCAAACGCCAAGGCAUGGCUAAAAUUUUGGAUGUAAAGACAUUUAACAACCUUGGCGGACUCUGUUGGGAUAACCCUCGAUCAAG